GACGAACGCUGGCGGCGUGCUUAACACAUGCAAGUCGAGCGGUAAGGCCCUUUCGGGGGUACACGAGCGGCGAACGGGUGAGUAACACGUGGGUGACCUGCCUUUAGCUCUGGGAUAAGCCUGGGAAACCGGGUCUAAUACCGGAUAUGACUCCGCGGCGCAUGUUGUGGGGUGGAAAGCCUUGUGCGGCUGGAGAUGGGCCCGCGGCCUAUCAGCUUGUUGGUGGGGUGAUGGCCUACCAAGGCGACGACGGGUAGCCGGCCUGAGAGGGCGACCGGCCACACUGGGACUGAGACACGGCCCAGACUCCUACGGGAGGCAGCAGUGGGGAAUCUUGCGCAAUGGGCGAAAGCCUGACGCAGCGACGCCGCGUGAGGGAUGACGGCCUCGGUUCGUAA
rnacentral:rRNA from 1 species